AUUGAACGCUAGCGGGAUGCUUUACACAUGCAAGUCGAACGGCAGCGCGGACUUCGGUUUGGCGGCGAGUGGCGAACGGGUGAGUAAUGUAUCGGAACGUGCCCAGUAGCGGGGGAUAACUACGCGAAAGCGUAGCUAAUACCGCAUACGCCCUACGGGGGAAAGCAGGGGAUCGUAAGACCUUGCACUAUUGGAGCGGCCGAUAUCGGAUUAGCUAGUUGGUGAGGUAACGGCUCACCAAGGCGACGAUCCGUAGCUGGUUUGAGAGGACGACCAGCCACACUGGGACUGAAACACGGCCCAGACUCCUACGGGAGGCAGCAGUGGGGAAUUUUGGACAAUGGGGGCAACCCUGAUCCAGCCAUCCCGCGUGUGCGAUGAAGGCCUUCGGGUUGUAAAGCACUUUUGGCAGGAAAGAAACGUCACGGGCUAAUACCCCGUGGAACUGACGGUACCUGCAGAAUAAGCACCGGCUAACUACGUG
rnacentral:rRNA from 1 species